rnacentral:lncRNA from 1 species
AGGAAAUGAAAAGGGCAGAGGUGGAAGUGCGAAGGCCGUCUUCUGGACUACAGUGGGUGAUUGCAAGCUGGAGCCCAGCGUGGAGUUCAGUCAGGGCAGGAUUCAGAAGAGAAUGCCAGGGAAGCAUGAGGAAUUUCACUGCCUUCCAGCAAUUAAAUUGCAUUCAAGAAUUCUACAGUAGCCUUGGUGGUCUGCAACGACAUUUCAGGGAUUAGAUGCUCUAUCUCCUGUCUGCAGACACAUGAGCAGAACCCAGGAUGGAAGAAUGUAAUCACCAGCGUGACUCCAGUGAUGGAGAUGAACUAGAUGUGGAGACUGGGGAGCAGCAGAGUCAACUCAGUUAUCAUCUUGGCGGCCGGGCUGCCGUCCAGCUCACAGAAGCCACCUGAUCCGGAAAAGAUUUCCAAAGC